GAGCUACUCCCUCUGUUCCGAAUUACUUGUCUUAGAUUUGUAUAGAUACGGAUGUAUCUAGCAUUAAAAUGAGUCUAGAUACAUUCGUAUCUAGACAAAUCUAAGACAAGUAAUUCGGAACGGAGGGAGUAGAUG
rnacentral:pre_miRNA from 1 species